CCACAAUUUUAUAUAGAGGUGGCAGAGAGAAAUCGGUGCUAUCUUCUACAAUGGUUCUGAAGCCGAUGAUGGUGCAAGAUCGGGAGGUGGUUGCGGAGAUCGGGGUAAGUGUCGGUAUCCGCUACAGAAAUAUGGAAAUAAUCACUUCUUCUGAUAAAGUUCAUCAAGAUCUAACGUUCCAACACAAUAAUCUGCUCCUUAAUCGCAACUGGUGGUGACCGAAAGUCAUGGCGGCACUGGUUCAAUCGCCGGUGAUGGAACGGGUAGUUGGUCGAACCUUAUGGUCUCAAGCAUCAUGAAGAGUUUUUGCAACAUGUGAUUCAGAUUCAGAAGGAAUAUGGGCGAGUGGAGUAUGAACUUGGGGCGCCGGCUAGAGCCUAUCCAAAAUGGGCCUCUAAGAUGGUUGUGAGUAUAGGAACAGGUGUCCUAAGGACCAUGAGCAAGCAAGACGCUGCCCCUUAUCCCAUUUAAUCUUCCUUUAACUGUCUCAUCAGUGCCCGAAGCUGUUGAACCCUACAUCGUUGUUGCAGAUUGAAUUGCUAAAUAACUUAAAGUGUACUUAAUUGAGAGGACUUGCUUUGGGAGAUGAAGGGGAUCAAGUAAUUUCACCCUAGAUAACCGAAACGCAUGAUGCUCAAAGAUGAUGACGAGGUGCUUGCAGUUUUAGCUACACGAGGCUGCGAGAAGACUUCAUCUGGGAAUAUGCUUUGUCGUGAUUACCAUAUUAAAGUGAUUGCCAAAUGACAUGGAAGGAGCCAAAACAUUAACUCUUUGGGUAAGAUUUCGUUGGGAAUGGGAAUGGGAGGUUUUAUACUAAAAGUUAUGAGUCUUUGUAUGUGUUGGGGCAGUGUCAAGGGGAUUUAGGGGUGAUGAUUGUGGGGAGUGUGUGAAAUGUGCAGUGCAGAGGGCUGAAGUGGAGUGUGGGGGUUCAACUUCUAGCUUCAUCUUCAUCAGAUUCUUCGUAUUCUUCUUCGUCAGAUUCUUCGUAUUAUUCACCAUCUUCUUCUUCAUCAGGAACAGAUUCAAAUACAGGAAAGACAGUAGCAAUUAUCUUGGAUCUUGGGAGAGGCAGCAGGAGUUGGAUUUUUAGUAACAUUUGUAUUAUUUGCUAAAAUUGCAGCAAAAAAACAUGAUGGUAUGUCAACCAAACUUUAAAUGAGAGUGAUUAUAAAUUUUCGUUUUCCUAAUUUUAAUAAUUUUUAAAAAAUUUUGGGUGCAUAUUAUUGAAAGGGAGAUGAGAUGACAGUUGGUCACAGAAUUAAGAACCAAAGAUCCAAUUUUUGAGGUGGGUUCUUUCUUUAGUCUUUUUCAAAUCCAUUACUAAGAUUUGGUUUUUGGUUAGUCAUUUAUCUUCAUUUUAGUUUACCCCAAGCUAAUAAUCAUAUUACAUAAAAUAACAUAAUAAGGGAAACUGGUAGAAUAUUGUAUUUAACACCCCUGAACUUUAAACAGUUUUUUUUUUCUUUUCCUUUUCUUAAGUCGAUUUACGCUGCAAUACCCCUUCUUAUGGACCCUUUUUAAGCGUAACUGUUGAGAUGAAAGCAUAACUCUUGAGAUGAUGAUCGCUCAAAGUUUGUUAGCAUGUGUACAUGGAGAUAACAAGAGCAACUUAGGCCAUAUAUAAGAGGUGAGAGCGCAAACAUAUUUCAAUGUAAGUUCUAACGAUGUUUUUAACUACGGCAUUUAAAAUUUGGUCGAUAUAUUAUUUGCGUAUAUGCCAACUACAAUCUCAUGUACUUAAAUGCUUAUUACAUAACUUAGGAUUACUCACUUUUAAAGUGCUUACAUAACUUAGUGUAUUCUAUUAUGAAGAAUAGAAUACACUAACUAUAUGCUCUAUUGUUGCUACUGUUCAGUUGGCAAAACCAGGUUUGUGGUCUGAUGGAGUGUUGGUCUAGAAGUGUUCUGUCUUGGCAUUGGACGAGGGAGGCGAGGCUGCUAAAUGGUUCACUGACUUUCAAUCAUAGAUGUAGCUUGGUUUGUAAAGAGUACUUGAUGUUUUCAAUUAUAGAUGUAGCUUGGUUUGUAAAGAGUACUUGAUGUUCACUUGGUCUCAGUGACCUGUAUGGUGUACAUAUUCAAAGGAAGCCUCGAAAUAUCAUUGAGUAUCAUUGGUUUAUUUAGGUGAAACUAAAUAAGAAAUACUCAAUUUGUUGCGACUUUUUAA